UAAUGAAUGAAUGGAUGAAUGAACAUCUCCAUUUUGAGGUGAGAACAUUCAAAGGUGGGCCAUACAGGAUUUAUGUAACUCAUCUAAGAAUUCAAGACUCAUUUGUUCUAGAUUCAGAUCAUUCAACAAAACAUGGCAUGAUUUCCACAGUCUCUGACAUUCUGAUUGCAUUGCUUGAGAAAAUUCUCAGUCUGGGAAUCUCCUUAAAAUGCAGCACAGAUGAUGGCUGAAUAGGAACAGCUCCGGUCUGCAGCUCCCAGCGAGAUCAACGCAG
rnacentral:lncRNA from 10 species